rnacentral:rRNA from 1 species
AACGAACGCUGGCGGCAUGCCUAACACAUGCAAGUCGAACGAUCCCUUCGGGGAUAGUGGCGCACGGGUGCGUAACGCGUGGGAACCUGCCCUUAGGUUCGGAAUAACUCAGAGAAAUUUGAGCUAACACCGGAUAAUGUCUUCGGACCAAAGAUUUAUCGCCUUUGGAUGGGCCCGCGUUGGAUUAGCUAGUUGGUGGGGUAAAGGCCUACCAAGGCGACGAUCCAUAGCUGGUCUGAGAGGAUGAUCAGCCACACUGGGACUGAGACACGGCCCAGACUCCUACGGGAGGCAGCAGUGGGGAAUAUUGGACAAUGGGCGAAAGCCUGAUCCAGCAAUGCCGCGUGAGUGAUGAAGGCCUUAGGGUUGUAAAGCUCUUUUACCCGGGAUGAUAAUGACAGUACCGGGAGAAUAAGCCCCGGCUAACUCCGUG